rnacentral:rRNA from 1 species
GAGCGGACAGAAGGGAGCUUGCUCCCGGAUGUUAGCGGCGGACGGGUGAGUAACACGUGGGUAACCUGCCUGUAAGACUGGGAUAACUCCGGGAAACCGGAGCUAAUACCGGAUAGUUCCUUGAACCGCAUGGUUCAAGGGUGAAAGACGGUUUCGGCUGUCACUUACAGAUGGACCCGCGGCGCAUUAGCUAGUUGGUGAGGUAACGGCUCACCAAGGCGACGAUGCGUAGCCGACCUGAGAGGGUGAUCGGCCACACUGGGACUGAGACACGGCCCAGA